rnacentral:rRNA from 1 species
CCUACGGGUGGCAGCAGUCGAGAAUCAUUCACAAUGGGGGAAACCCUGAUGGUGCGACGCCGCGUGGGGGAAUGAAGUUCUUCGGAUUGUAAACCCCUGUCAUGUGGGAGCAAAUUAAAAAGAUAGUACCACAAGAGGAAGAGACGGCUAACUCUGUGCCAGCAGCCGCGGUAAUACAGAGGUCUCAAGCGUUGUUCGGAAUCACUGGGCGUAAGGCGUGCGUAGGCUGUUUCGUAAGUCGUGUGUGAAAGGCGCGGGCUCAACCCGCGGACGGCACAUGAUACUGCGAGACUAGAGUAAUGGAGGGGGAACCGGAAUUCUCGGUGUAGCAGUGAAAUGCGUAGAUAUCGAGAGGAACACUCGUGGCGAAGGCGGGUUCCUGGACAGUAACUGACGCUGAGGCACGAAGGCCAGGGGAGCGAAAGGGAUUAGAUACCCCUGUAGUC